rnacentral:rRNA from 1 species
UACGUAGGGCGCAAGCGUUAUCCGGAAUUAUUGGGCGUAAAGAGCUCGUAGGCGGUUUGUCGCGUCUGCCGUGAAAGUCCGGGCUCAACUCCGGAUCUGCGGUGGGUACGGGCAGACUAGAGUGAUGUAGGGGAGACUGGAAUUCCUGGUGUAGCGGUGAAAUGCGUAGAUAUCAGGAGGAACACCAGUGGCGAAGGCAGGAUCUCUGGGCCUAA